UUAUUGUGUUUUUAAUAUCCAGUUGGAAGCUGCCUAGAGUGGCUGGGGAAACCCAGCCAGAUGGGCAGGGUAUAAAUAAAAAAAAUUACAACAACAACAACAAUAAUAAUAAUAAUAAUAAUUUAUUAUUUAUACCCCGCCCAUCUGGCUGGGUUUCCCCAGCCACUCUGGGCGGCUUCCAACAAAACACUAAAAUACAAUA